UGGGGAACCGGGAAGAAGGGGAUGUUUAUUGGUUGCCUACAAUUGGAGAAUUCCAUUUUCAUAUCAUUUGAUUAAACGGGAAGUGGAAUGUGAGGGGUUGUUCUUCCAGUUUGUGUGUGGUCUCACUCUGGCAUUGGAGGUGGCCCAAGUCAGAAAUGUCAGUAUGGAAAUGGGUAGUUAAAAUGAUUAGCAACCAGGAGAUCCAGCAGGCCAAGGCAGACCAAGCACAAAUGUUUAAAGGUUAUGUUGGUCUCUCUGAAGUAAAACAGGCCACAUCUGGCGCACAUAAUACAAUACUCCAAAUGACUAUUUUUCACAAAUACUUAUUUAAUGCCAUAAAAAUUCACCUUGCCCCAAUUGAGAUCCUGUGGGCUAGUCCACAAGUCCUUUUCCAUAACUAUUGAAAACCUAACUGUGAUCACUAGUCCCAAUGAGAAACUUUAAAAUAGAGAAUCUGAUCCAAGCAGGAAUCUGAUCGGAACUACAAAAAGCAAUCAUAAAUUUAAAUUAUCUUGACUUUUGUAGACCAAAAGUAUGGGAAUACCAAAGAGAGGUGGUUAUAUUUACAUGUUAUUUGAAUUGUAUUCACACUCCAUCUGGAUAGCAACAUUUACAAAAGGAUACAAAGGACAUUUAUUAUCACAUACACCAAUUGGUGCAGUGAAAUUUGACUUGUCAUGCAGCACACAGAUAAAGAUAGGACAUCAUUAAAGAAUUUAACAAUAAACAUAAAAACAUCCCCCCACACAAUGGUUCCCACUGUGAGGGAAGGCAAAAAGUCCAGUCCCCAUCCCCAUGUCCAUCCAUAAUUGAUAUGUUUAAGGAUUAGGGAGAUGGCUUUUCUUUUGACUUUUGGUGUGCUAGUUGAUAUUUACCCCAUGGAUCAUAAAUACCCCAGGGAUCAUUCUCGUAAAUGUCCCCUGGAACCUCUCCUUUGAUAUGGGGCUCAAAACUCUUCACAAUGUUCCAAAUGUGGCUUGAUGAGCACCUUAUAAAACCUCAGCAUUACAUCCUGACCAUUCUGCGAGGAGAGCUGGGGAAUGCAUUGGAAGGACAAAUGAACUUUGUUGGAAAGUUCGAUGUGUCAAGGUUGAUCGAAGUAUAGUUUAGCCUGAGUUGACAGUCGGGAGGCAAAGCUCCUGAUGGUAAAAAAGAUUUUGUGCAAUCAGUGAGAAAGAAGAUAGAUUCUGGUGACCUUAGUGAAGAUCAGGAGUAUGUUGCAAUUCAUCUAAGACUGUGCAUAAAACAGCAGAAUAUAACAUCUUGUCAAGUAAGCAGGCUAAAAAUGCAAUGUGAACUAAAUUAGUAAUUAGGAAAUGAUUGCAAUAACCUCAGCCAUUUAGUUGAGCGUGGUAAUUAUUUGUUGUAAUGGC